rnacentral:tRNA from 1 species
GACUGGGUGGCUCAGUCGGUUGAGCAUCCGACUUCAGCUCAGGUCAUGAUCUCACGGUUCGUGGGUUCGAGCCCCACACUGGGCU